UCAGUGCCAUGACUGACUUGGAGUGUCACACGUCAUUCUUAUUCACAAAUGUCGUUUUAAAACAACGCGAUUUGAGCAUCACGGAUUUGUCGAACGUGGGUAAGUAAAAAAGGCUCGUUUUUUGGGGAUUUUAUCUACCUGUUUUUUUUUUAAUGUAAUAUUAGUAGUGAAUAGUCCUCCAACUAUUACUCUUACAGAACAUCCAUUUUGAUUUUUUAUUAUUGAUUGAAACUGGCGUUACAACAACAAAUUAUUUGAGACCACCUCAAGGGUGCGUUUCUGCGUCAACCUUUUGUUGAACGGUUGAGGUCGACUGCUGUUUUGUUGUCAACUGCCGCUAGGGGGUUGUACCAUGGGAAAGUUCAACCUCUGUUUUUGCGUCAAGCAAAAUUCCGAGUUGAACUAGAAAAGUUGAAUUCGCUCAACCGUGGUCUGGACCACGGUUGAUCUUUAGUUCAACUGCAUAUCAUACAUCUCCCCGCCCCUUUUUUUGCACACCACAGUCAUUAUAUAAAUAAAUGAGGCAACGGUGUUUCAUUAUUAUACUUUUUUAUUAUUUUUCGUUCAGGCAUUACAUUAUAAUUUGAAUGUUUCUAAUUUAUCAGAGAUAAAUCUUAAUGAAAAUGGAAAGUGAAAGUAGUAUUUUGCCUAAUAAAAGUGAUAAUAAUGCCUUAAAGGAGUGUUGGAAUGGUGGGAAAAGGGCAUCACAAUUGAACAUUGAUAUGGAAGCAACAGAAUUGUUACUGAAUCUCUUAAAAGAGAAGUGGAGUCUCUUUAUUGACAACAAAACAAA